GUCGUCAGCUCGUGUUGUGAAAUGUUGGGUUAAGUCCCGCAACGAGCGCAACCCUUAUCCUUGUUUGCCAGCGAGUAAUGUCGGGAACUCCAGGGAGACUGCCGGUGAUAAACCGGAGGAAGGUGGGGACGACGUCAAGUCAUCAUGGCCCUUACGAGUAGGGCUACACACGUGCUACAAUGGCGCAUACAGAGGGCGGCCAACUUGCGAAAGUGAGCGAAUCCCAAAAAGUGCGUCGUAGUCCGGAUUGGAGUCUGCAACUCGACUCCAUGAAGUCGGAAUCGCUAGUAAUCGUGGAUCAGAAUGCCACGGUGAAUACGUUCCCGGGCCUUGUACACACCGCCCGUCACACCAUGGGAGUGGGCUGCAAAAGAAGUGGGUAGUUUAACCUUCGGGAGGACGCUCACCACUUUGUGGUUCAUGACUGGGGUGAAGUCGUAACAAGGUAGCGCUAGGGGAACCUGGCGCUGGAUCACCUCCUUAUACGAUGAU
rnacentral:rRNA from 1 species